UAACACGUAUCCAACCUGCCGAUAACUCGGGGANAGCCUUUCGAAAGAAAGAUUAAUACCCGAUGGCAUAAUAGAACCGCAUGGUUUGAUUAUUAAAGAAUUUCGGUUAUCGAUGGGGAUGCGUUCCAUUAGGCAGUUGGUGGGGUAACGGCCCACCAAACCUUCGAUGGAUAGGGGCUCUGAGAGGAAGGUCCCCCACAUUGGAACUGGGACACGGUCCAAACUCCUACGGGAGGCAGCAGUGAGGAAUAUUGGUCAAUGGACGAGAGUCUGAACCAGCCAAGUAGCGUGAAGGAUGACUGCCCUAUGGGUUGUAAACUUCUUUUAUAUGGGAAGAAAGUGGUCCACGUGUGGAUUUUUGUAUGUNYYAUAUGAAUAAGGAUCGGCUNNCUCCGUGCCAGCAGCCGCGGUAAUACGGAGGAUCCGAGCGUUAUCCGGAUUUAUUGGGUUUAAAGGGAGCGUAGGUGGACAGUUAAGUCAGUUGUGAAAGUUUGCGGCUCAACCGUAAAAUUGCAGUUGAUACUGGCUGUCUUGAGUACAGUAGAGGUGGGCGGAAUUCGUGGUGUAGCGGUGAAAUGCUUAGAUAUCACGAAGAACUCCGAUUGCGAAGGCAGCUCACUGGACUGCAACUGACACUGAUGCUCGAAAGUGUGGGUAUCAAACAGGAUUAGAUACCCUGGUAGUCCACACAGUAAACGAUGAAUACUCGCUGU
rnacentral:rRNA from 1 species